rnacentral:rRNA from 1 species
GACGAACGCUGGCGGCGUGCUUAACACAUGCAAGUCGAACGGAAAGGCCCUGCCGUUGUGGGGUGCUCGAGUGGCGAACGGGUGAGUAACACGUGAGUAACCUGCCCUGGACUUUGGGAUAACUUCAGGUAACCGGGGCUAAUAUCGGAUAGGAGCUCCUGCUGCAGGGUGGGGGUGGGAAAGCUUCGGCGGUAGGGGAUGUACCCGCGGCUUAUCAGCUUGUUGGUGGGGUAGUGGCUUACCAAGGCCUUGACGGGUAGCCGGCCUGAGAGGGUGACCGGCCACAUUGGGACUGAGGUACGGCCCAGUCUCCUACGGGAGGCAGCAGUGGGGAAUAUUGCCCAGUGGGCGGAAGCCUGAUGCAGCGACGCCCCGUGCGGGAUGACGUCCUUCGGGUUGUAAACCGCUUUCGCCUGUGACGAAGCGUGCGUGACGGUAAUGGGUAAAGAAGCACCGGCUAACUACGUG